CAGGCUGCAACUCGCCUGCAUGAAGUCGGAAUUGCUAGUAAUCGCGGAUCAGCAUGCCGCGGUGAAUACGUUCCCGGGCCUUGUACACACCGCCCGUCACACCAUGGAGUCGGUAACACCCGAAGCCGAUAGUCUAACGAAAGAGGACGUCGUCGAAGGUGGGAUUGAUGACUGGGGUGAAGUCGUAACAAGGUAGC
rnacentral:rRNA from 1 species